UAUUACUCCAAACAUGCCCCACUUUCCAAAAAAAUGUGAAUUUUCCAUGAAAUUUGAGACUUUAUUUAUGAUUUUCGCCUUGGCGGCAUCCUUUACCAGUCUUAAUAUUUUAACCACUACUUUGUACAUUAAAAACCAACAAAAAGUGCAAAAAUCAUCGCUGGUGAGCAAUGCCGCCAUAUUCAAAAACGAAAAAAACGUCCGUCUCAGAGACACAUUUUUAUCCGAAAUUACACAAGCCUCGAUUUCGGUAAAAUGACGUUGUUCACAGUUGACGUCACUUAAUUAGAUAUUUGUUUUCAUUAAUUUGUUUUUCAAGCAACAGGCAUUAGAGCUAGUGUUAAAAUCAAUAAUAUCGGACAAAGAUUUUUAAGUUUAAACGUUUCAACAUUUAGUGAAAUAUCACAAACCUAAUGAGUGAAUUAGCGAAUUGUUUCCCUUUGAAAUCAACACGCCAUUAUCGGUGGAUACAUGUCUGAAACUGGGUCAGAGAAUGCAUGCAGUUAUUGCUCUGAAUAUACGCGGAUAUUUAAAGUGCAUGGCGGAUUUAAUAAUUGUUAUGGGUAACCUCCAGCAGUAAGAAAUAUAAAGGCUCACUGCAGUUUUGAGUGCUCAACAAGUAUUGACCCCAUACUAUGCUCAGCAAGUAGGGCCCUUGUAUUUCUGUGAAAUCCUCAUGCAGGUAUAAGAUUUUGAAGUUAGUGUUUACAUUCAUAUCAGUGUCAGUAUCCUCAAAUGCACUUUUUCAAUAUCAAUUUUAACUAUGAAAUUCCAUAUAUCACUAAAUUAAAUUCCAUAGUCUUCAAACAAAUCAUGACUCUAUGAAUAAAAGCUUCAGGCCUGCAGUGCACAUUUUACAUUGGAAUUAUAGUGACACCUUUGCAGAAAUUUUGUCAAGUAAAAUUAUCUAAAGGAAGUUAUGUUUUGUUAAGACUUGAUAUUACUAAUUUCUAUGGGUUUUUUUUUUUUCACUGAACUUUCUGUAAAUCCAUGAAAUUGGGUUGAAAAUACUGCAUUGCUUUAUAAUAAAGAUGCUAUAUCAUAAGCACUGUGAAUUGGAAUUCAAUUAAAUUUUGAUAAAUACAAGUUAAUGUUAAGCAAUAUCUAUAAGAAAGGAUGAACUAUUUGGUCAGUGUUGAUUCACUCAAUUUUUGAUGAGAAUUUAAUACAUUUCUUAUAAACUGUUCUUGUUUUUGUAUGAAAAGUACAGUACUGCUGUUGGAAGAGGAGCAAACAGUGUGGUAUCUAUGGUCCACCAUCACUCCAAGCAUCAUGGCCAUGGAGAAAAGAAUGUUUCAUUACAUAUGGACAAUUAUAGUGGACAAAAUAAGAAAAGUGUUGUAAUAAGCUAUGGAAUGUGGCUUGUUAUGAUGGGUUUACAUGAUGACUUGGAGUACAGCCUGAUUGAGGCCCGGCAUACAGAAUUCAGUCCUGAACAUGUUUAGAAUGUCUUCUGCAUGACCUGGUAUAGAUAGUAUUCUUGAAGGAUUAUAACUUCAACACAGAGACGGAGAUUAAUAUUUUUAGGCAGGGGGUUGGCAUGACAGGCAAAUUCACCAACCGUAUUGCCAUUCCUGAGCUGGAUGCCAGUCGACAGUGGUACCUGUAUAAUGAUAUAGCGCCCCUUUGCAGCAACAGCAAUGUAUGCUCAAAACCAGCAGUGUCAAAGCCAUUAAAAUUGAUAAUUCAAGUCAUUUAAAACGAAGAAUGAAUGGAAAAAAGUGUUUAACAUUUAAAGUAAUACAGAGAAAGAGCUCUGAAAUUUUGAUUAAUUGAAAGUGUUUUUGAUUUUUUGAAGAUGUAACAAACCCAAAUUCCAUAUAUUUGAAAAAGAACAAACGAUACAGAUAGUUUAUGUAAACAUUGAAUUAACAACUUUAUGGUGUCAACAGUACUAUGCAUUUGUUAAAUAUUGACUCACUAUAUACAAGUAAGGCUGAACACAGUAUAAAUGUGAAAUUCCUCUAAAACACUGGAAGAUCUUUCAACAAUAAUUGUAACAUAUAUGGUAGUAAUGUACAUUUUUUUCAUUAUGACAGUUGGAUUAUAUAGAUCUACGAAUAUUUUCUGCUGUAUUCAAACUGCAUGUAAUCAUUUCCUUCGGCAGUAUCAUGUUUAUUUUCCCUUUUCAUGAGCAAUUAAUUUAACCUGUCUUGAAAGCACAAUAUAUGUAUAUUUUGUAAAACAUACAUUGGAUUAUUGUGGAAACAAUUUAGUGUUUGUAUGCCUAAUUAUAUAUUAUUGCCGUUAGUAUUAUCUAACUCUUUUAAUAUGAUCAAGACAUUUGAUAAGGCAUUUUUCUUAAAGUAUUACUGUGUGUUAAAUGAGAUUAUGUAGUAUUAUGUUUACGGAAUUAACUGCGUAACCAUGGAAACAUUUUUCUGUUGUUCUAUGUUAUGUCUUGAAAAAAACAUUGUUUGAAGAACACUUUUCAGUGGUGCAUUUUUUUUAAAUUUUUACAUGUAAUGGUAAAUGCUGAAAGUGUUCUACAAUAACUUAGCAAAAACGUCAUUGUUGUCUCAUAUACUGCAACUCCAUUGUAACCAUAGCAACAGAAAUAUAUUGUAUUAUUUAUGAAUAAAGAUCUUCACAAACAAAUUACAUAUGUUAUUUUUCUUAAAGAAUGACCUAAAUUGUUUUUAUUCCAUAAAAAACAGACAUAGCAAAUAUUCUCAUUUUUAUCUCCGUUUCCAUGGCAACCAUAUAUUUUUUUGCCUCAAAUUAUAGGCGUUGCUUAGGGUUAUAUCUUAGCAUGUCUGAAUGUUAAUUAUACGUUCUGAUGUAAUUGUUAUAAGAGAUUUUCGUGUUUCCAUAAAGAAAAUCAAUCGGUUGCCAUGGCAACAGCACACUUUCAAAUGAAUUAAAAUAUGAGAUUUUGCAUUCUGAGUUGUUGAUCAUUCAUUAUAAUAAUAUUUCAACAACAUUUGAUGUUGUGCCAUUUUAACCUAUAAGUGAA